CAAAACUUUCAACAACGGAUCUCUUGGUUCUGGCAUCGAUGAAGAACGCAGCGAAAUGCGAUAAGUAAUGUGAAUUGCAGAAUUCAGUGAAUCAUCGAAUCUUUGAACGCACAUUGCGCCCGCCAGUAUUCUGGCGGGCAUGCCUGUUCGAGCGUCAUCUCAACCCUC
rnacentral:rRNA from 1 species